GCCGACACGUCACUGUCAACCGCUCCUUUCCGACAUUUUGGUCAUCUUGAAGAGGCCGUCGCAGACCUUCAAGACCAUCGAGUCCAACCAUUGUGCGUGAGGUCGCCGAGAGGAGAAUCCGUGCGGUCGGAAGAGGCCCGAGCCGGUGCUGUGUGGACUUGUUGCAUUCCCUGCUGAAAAUCUGAGGCGAGACAGACUUACCUGAAUAUACUGGUGUCGUGGAUGUCCUCACAGUCCCCAAACC